ACUAAAUUAUUUAGUUGCAUGUGGUACAAUCACAAACAUAAUCUAAAGAGGGUCUGUGAGUUUUCACAUUGUAAAGGUUGUGUCCAGUAAUAGUGGUGGUGGUCCUGAAGUGUCUCUUAUAUACCGUAUCUCCCACCAUCUCUCCAUGUCAAUGCAAACCCUCCCUCUGAUUAUUUCCCUACUUAAACAGUGUCUGUCUGUCAUUAGAUGCCCUCUGUGUACUGGAGAGAAGAGAAAAGCAGCUCCCACUAGUUCAGCUUCAAAACAAGCCAUGUUCCCUGCAUCUCUGCUGCUGCUGGCAUCUGUCUCCUGUGUCUGAUGUGAUAUUGAACUCAUCCAUUCUGGUCCAGUGGUUAUAAAACGAGGAGAGUCUUUCAGCAUCUUCUGCAAAUUCUCAGGGUUUUCUAUAUAUUCUUACUGUCCUCGCUGGAUACGACAAGCUGAAGGCAAAGCUUUGGAGUAUGUUGGUUGUACAUGUAUUAGUAGUACUUCUACUGUAGACUCACUGAAGAUCACUUCUAGUUAUGACAGCUCUAGCAGUACAGUGUUUGAUUGUAUAAUAAGACUCCUUAAAUUAAAUAGAACAGAGAUGCUUCACCACAUCAAAUUUGUAACCGAAUACAAGCCCAUCACUGGUGGUGCUGGAAAUGUAUAUCUGAGUUGUUUACCAAUUAUACUCCUGAUAUGACUUGAUGGUA